rnacentral:rRNA from 1 species
UNGGGAGCUCUCCCAUAUGGUCGACCUGCAGGCGGCCGCGAAUUCACUAGUGAUUAGAGUUUGAUCCUGGCUCAGAUUGAACGCUGGCGGCGUGCUUAACACAUGCAAGUCGAACGUGAAAGUCCUUCGGGACGAGUAAAGUGGCGCACGGGUGAGUAACGCGUGGAUAAUCUACCCUUAAGAUGGGGAUAACGGCUGGAAACGGUCGCUAAUACCGAAUACGCUCCCGAUUUUAUCGUUGGGGGGAAAGAUGGCCUCUGCUUGCAAGCUAUCGCUUAAGGAUGAGUCCGCGUCCCAUUAGCUAGUUGGCGGGGUAACGGCCCACCAAGGCGACGAUGGGUAGCCGGUCUGAGAGGAUGACCGGCCACACUGGAACUGGAACACGGUCCAGACUCCUACGGGAGGCAGCAGUGGGGAAUAUUGCGCAAUGGGCGAAAGCCUGACGCGGCGACGCCGCGUGAGGGAUGAAGGUUCUCGGAUCGUAAACCUCUGUCAGGGGGGGAAGAAACCCCCNCGUGUG